GAUGAACGCUGGCGGCGUGCCUAAUACAUGCAAGUCGAGCGAACAGACGAGGAGCUUGCUCCUCUGACGUUAGCGGCGGACGGGUGAGUAACACGUGGAUAACCUACCUAUAAGACUGGGAUAACUUCGGGAAACCGGAGCUAAUACCGGAUAACAUGUUGAACCGCAUGGUUCAACAGUGAAAGACGGUCUUGCUGUCACUUAUAGAUGGAUCCGCGCCGCAUUAGCUAGUUGGUAAGGUAACGGCUUACCAAGGCAACGAUGCGUAGCCGACCUGAGAGGGUGAUCGGCCACACUGGAACUGAGACACGGUCCAGACUCCUACGGGAGGCAGCAGUAGGGAAUCUUCCGCAAUGGGCGAAAGCCUGACGGAGCAACGCCGCGUGAGUGAUGAAGGUCUUCGGAUCGUAAAACUCUGUUACUAGGGAAGAACAAAUGUGUAAGUAACUAUGCACGUCUUGACGGUACCUAAUCAGAAAGCCACGGCUAACUACGUG
rnacentral:rRNA from 1 species